rnacentral:rRNA from 1 species
CAUAGCGACUAUCGUGGCAUAUCAAUAAGCGGAGGAAAAGAAACUAACAAGGAUUCCCUUAGUAACGGCGAGUGAAGCGGGAAGAGCUCAAAUUUGAAAUCUUCAAGGUUUUCCCUUGACGAAUUGUAGUUUAAAGAAGUGUUUUCUGUUGAAGUUUUGGUAAAAGUUCUUUGGAAUAGGACAUCAUAGAGGGUGAGAAUCCCGUAUUUGACCAUUAUUUUCCAGCUGUGUGAUACACUUUCAAAGAGUCGGAUUGUUUGGGAAUGCAGUCCAAAAUGGGUGGUAAAUUUCAUCUAAAGCUAAAUAUUGGCGAGAGACCGAUAGCGAACAAGUACCGUGAGGGAAAGAUGAAAAGAACUUUGAAAAGAGAGUUAAACAGUACGUGAAAUUGUCAAAAGGGAAGCGUUUGACACCAGUGUUGUUUUCUCGAAAAUCAAUUAAAAAUGAUGGGAUUUUGUGUUGUAUUGACUUUAUCAGCUUUCUGCACUUUUUUCUUAUCUUUUUUAAUGCACUUUUCGUUUAACAAGUCAACAUCAAUUUCUUUUGCUUGUAAAAGAGUCAUUGGAAGGUGGCUUUCUUCUUCGGAGAAAGUGUUUAUAGCCUUUUCUUCUGCAAUCGGAGAGAUUGAGGUCUGCAGCGUAGACUCCUUCGGGGUUAGAUACAUUUGUGCUAAGCUAUAGUUCUUUAUAGACAACUUGUUGACUAUAUUUAGUCUUGUGGCUUACUCGCUUAUGCUAUUUUACCUACGCUUAGGAUGUUGAUAUGCAUGACUGAUAU